CCGAGUUAUUCAACUCAUCAACCCUGUGAACAUACCUAAACGUUGCUUCGGCGGGAAUAGACGGCCCCGUAAAACGGGCCGCCCCCGCCAGAGGACCCUUAACUCUGUUUCUAUAAUGUUUCUUCUGAGUAAAACAAGCAAAUAAAUCAAAACUUUCAACAACGGAUCUCUUGGCUCUGGCAUCGAUGAAGAACGCAGCGAAAUGCGAUAAGUAAUGUGAAUUGCAGAAUUCAGUGAAUCAUCGAAUCUUUGAACGCACAUUGCGCCCGCCAGUAUUCUGGCGGGCAUGCCUGUUCGAGCGUCAUUACAACCCUCAGGCCCCCGGGCCUGGCGUUGGGGAUCGGCGGAGCCCCCCGUGGGCACACGCCGUCCCCCAAAUACAGUGGCGGUCCCGCCGCAGCUUCCAUCGCGUAGUAGCUAACACCUCGCGACUGGAGAGCGGCGCGGCCACGCCGUAAAACACCCAACUCUUCUGAACAACAGGGAUUGCCCCAGUAACGGCGAGUGAAGCGGCAACAGCUCAAAUUUGAAAUCUGGCUCUCGGGCCCGAGUUGUAAUUUGUAGAGGAUGCUUUUGGUGAGGUGCCUUCCGAGUUCCCUGGAACGGGACGCCAUAGAGGGUGAGAGCCCCGUCUGGUUGGACGCCGAACCUCUGUAAAGCUCCUUCGACGAGUCGAGUAGUUUGGGAAUGCUGCUCUAAAUGGGAGGUAUAUGUCUUCUAAAGCUAAAUACCGGCCAGAGACCGAUAGCGCACAAGUAGAGUGAUCGAAAGAUGAAAAGAACUUUGAAAAGAGAGUUAAACAGUACGUGAAAUUGUUGAAAGGGAAGCGCUUGUGACCAGACUUGGGCUUGGUUGAUCAUCCGGGGUUCUCCCCGGUGCACUCUUCCGGCUCAGGCCAGCAUCAGUUCGCCCUGGGGGAUAAAGGCAUCGGGAACGUGGCUCUCUCCGGGGAGUGUUAU
rnacentral:rRNA from 1 species